rnacentral:rRNA from 1 species
AAUCCGCCCUUUUUAAGGACAACUUAUGAAUACGAGCGAACGCUUUGCAAGUAGCGAAGAUGCAUAUAUCACGCUUCCAAGAAAAGCUUCUAGGGUUAACUAUUUGUUUCCAGUACCGAGAACGAACACACGUGGUCAAGGAGAAGAUCCUAAGGUUAGCGAGUGAACUAUAGCUAAGGAACUCUGCAAAUUCAUCCCGUAAGUUCGCGAGAAGGGAUGCUCAAUGUAAAAGUUGAGCCGCAGUGAAGAACGAGGGGGGACUGUUUAACUAAAACACAGCUCUAUGCUAAAUCGCAAGAUGAUGUAUAUGGGGUGACACCUGCCCAGUGCUGGAAGGUUAAAGAAGGGUGUUAGAGCAAUCGAAGCUCCCGACUGAAGCCCCAGUGAACGGCGGCCGUAACUAUAACGGUCCUAAGGUAGCGAAAUUCCUUGUCGGGUAAAUUCCGUCCCGCUUGAAUGGUGUAACCAUCUCUUGACUGUCUCGGCUAUAGACUCGGUGAAAUCCAGGUACGGGUGAAGACACCCGUUAGGCGCAACGGGACGGAAAGACCCCAUGAAGCUUUACUGUAACUUAAUAUUGGGCAGAGUUUAGACAUAUAGAGAAUAGGUGGGAGACUUUGAAGCAACUUCGCUAGGAGUUGUGGAGUCACCAGUGGAAUACCACCUUUGUUUACAUUCUUCUCUAACUAGUUGCUGUUAUCCAGCAAUAGGACAGUGUUAGGCGGGCAGUUUGACUGGGGCGGUCGCCUCCCAAAAGGUAACGGAGGCGUGCAAAGGUACCCUCAGCACGGUUGGAAAUCGUGUUAAGAGUGUAAUGGUAUAAGGGUGCUUGACUGUGAGACUAACAGGUCGAACAGGUAAGAAAUUAGGUCAUAGUGAUCCGGUGGUUCAGUAUGGAAUGGCCAUCGCUCAACGGAUAAAAGCUACUCUGGGGAUAACAGGCUGAUACUGCCCAAGAGUUCACAUCGACGGCAGUGUUUGGCACCUCGAUGUCGACUCAUCUCAUCCUCGAGCUGAAGCAGGUUCGAAGGGUUCGGCUGUUCGCCGAUUAAAGAGAUACGUGAGUUGGGUUCAAACCGUCGCGAGACAGGUUGGUCCCUAUCUAUUGUGCCCGCAGGAAGAUUGAAAAGAUUUACUCUUAGUACGAGAGGACCGGAGUGAAGACACCUCUUGUGCUCCAGUUGUAGUGCCAACUGCACCGCUGGGUAGCAACGUGUCGAACGGAUAAACGCUGAAAGCAUCUAAGUGUGAAACCGACUUUAAGAAUAAUCUUCCCUUCCAGCAAUGGAGUAAGAAUCGUUGUAGACUACGACGUUGAUAGGCUAAAGGUGUAAGUGCCGCGAGGUAUUUAGCUGAUUAGUACUAAUAAUUCGAGGACUUAGAUUU